GUUACAUAGAUUCUUGAAUCUAAAAGGUGUAGGGAUAGUAUAUACGCUUUAUUUAUUUCUAUCUAUAGAGCACAGCUGGAGCUCGCAAUAGAAUAACUAGAGAUACGGUAGAAGCUCAGACAUAGCCAGAUCCUCAAAAAGAGUUCCACAGCAGCGCACAAAAGCAAUCAAGGCCUCUUAAGAGUGAACGGUAGCUAUCUGUUCUGUUACAGAGCUUGUAUUCCUCCGCC
rnacentral:sRNA from 1 species